UACCUAUUAACAUUGAGGAUGCUUCUCGGAGUGAUGUUGAAAUCGAAAAGGCUUUGCAGGCCGGAGAAACACUUGUUCGAGUUAAUCAGGAUACCCGCUUGAAUAACCAAGUUCUUGAUUUGCGAACACCUGCGAAUCAGGGGAUAUUCCGCAUUAAGAGUCAAGUUGGCAAUAUCUUUAGGCAAUUCUUGAUAUCCGAAGGCUUUUUUGAAAUCCACUCACCAAAAACUGAUUGCUGGUUCAAGUGAAGGUGGAGCUGCUGUUUUUAGACUCAACUACAAGGGUCAAGAUGCAUGCCUUGCCCAGUCGCCUCAGCUUCACAAGCAGAUGGCUAUAUGUGGUGACUUCGGCCGUAUUUUUGAGAUUGGUACUGUUUUUAGAGCUGAGGACUCCUUUACCCAUAGGCAUUUGUGUGAGUUCACUGGCCUUGAUGUUGAGAUGGAGAUCAAGAGGCACUACUUUGAGGUAGAAUUAGUAAUUUUUUAGGCAUUUGUUUACCUUUAUCGCCCUAUAUGACGAUGUAUGUUAACUUAUGGUGCAAUUAUAUGCUCGUUUGUUCAGGUCAUG